rnacentral:rRNA from 1 species
GCCAACAGCAUACCACCCUGCAUCUCACUGCUGGCUUGCCUCUGAAGCUAAGCAGGGUUGGUCCCGGAUGGGAGACCAGAUGCUGCUGGAA